UCCGGUUUGUCACCGGCAGUCUGAAGUGAGUCCCCAACUUAAUGCUGGCAACACUUCACGGGGGUUGCGCUCGUUGCGGGACUUAACCCAACAUCUCACGACACGAGCUGACGACAGCCAUGCACCACCUGUAUACCGACCACAAGGGGGGCCGUAUCUCUACGGCUUUCCGGUAUAUGUCAAACCCAGGUAAGGUUCUUCGCGUUGCAUCGAAUUAAUCCACAUGCUCCACCGCUUGUGCGGUCCCCCGCCAAUUCCUUUGAGUUUUAACCUUGCGGCCGUACUCCCCAGGCGGAUGACUUAACGCGUUAGCUGCGCCACCAAAGCUCUAAGAGCCCUGACAGCUAGUCAUCAUCGUUUACGGCGUGGACUAC
rnacentral:misc_RNA from 1 species